rnacentral:rRNA from 1 species
AGAGUUUGAUCAUGGCUCAGAUUGAACGCUGGCGGCAGGCCUAACACAUGCAAGUCGAGCGGAAACGAGUUCUCUGAACCUUCGGGGAACGUGAACGGCGUCGAGCGGCGGACGGGUGAGUAAUACCUGGGAAAUUGCCCUGAUGUGGGGGAUAACCAUUGGAAACGAUGGCUAAUACCGCAUAAUAGCUUCGGCUCAAAGAGGGGGACCUUCGGGCCUCUCGCGUCAGGAUAUGCCCAGGUGGGAUUAGCUAGUUGGUGAGGUAAGGGCUCACCAAGGCGACGAUCCCUAGCUGGUCUGAGAGGAUGAUCAGCCACACUGGAACUGAGACACGGUCCAGACUCCUACGGGAGGCAGCAGUGGGGAAUAUUGCACAAUGGGCGCAAGCCUGAUGCAGCCAUGCCGCGUGUAUGAAGAAGGCCUUCGGGUUGUAAAGUACUUUCAGCAGUGAGGAAGGNUCNUNNGUUAAUANNGNAGGAU